rnacentral:rRNA from 1 species
UACGGGGGGGGCAAGCGUUGCUCGGAAUCACUGGGCGUAAAGGGUGCGUAGGCGGGUUUUUAAGUCAGGGGUGAAAUCCUGGAGCUCAACUCCAGAACUGCCUUUGAUACUGAAGAUCUCGAGUCCGGGAGAGGUGAGUGGAACUGCGAGUGUAGAGGUGAAAUUCGUAGAUAUUCGCAAGAACACCCGUGGCGAAGGCGGCUCUCUGGGACGUGACUGACGCUGAGACGCGAAAGCGUGGGGAGCAAACAGG